rnacentral:rRNA from 1 species
UACAGAGGGGGGCAAGCGUUAUUCGGAAUUAUUGGGCGUAAAGGGGCGCGUAGGCGGCUUUUCAAGUGACGGGUGAAAGCCCUCGGCUUAACCGAGGAACUGCCUGUCAGACUGGAAGGCUUGAGACCGGGAGAGGUGAGUGGAAUUCCCAGUGUAGCGGUGAAAUGCGUAGAUAUUGGGAGGAACACCAGUGGCGAAGGCGGCUCACUGGACCGGAACUGACGCUGAGGCGCGAAAGCGUGGGGAGCAAACAGGG